GAUGAACGCUAGCGGGAGGCGUUAUACAUGCAAGUCGAACGGUAAAUGGUAGCAAUACUAUGAGAGUGGCGUACGGGUGCGUAACGCGUACACAACCUGCCUUGUACAGGGGGAUAGCCUCGGGAAACUGAGAUUAAUACCCCCAUAAUUUUACGGUGUGGCAUCACAUUGUAAUUAAAGCUCCGGCGGUACAAGAUGGGUGUGCGUCCGAUUAGGUAGUUGGUGAGGUAACGGCUCACCAAGCCGACGAUCGGUAGCUGGUCUGAGAGGACGAUCAGCCACACGGGCACUGAGACACGGGCCCGACUCCUACGGGAGGCAGCAGUAGGGAAUAUUGGACAAUGGACGCAAGUCUGAUCCAGCCAUCCCGCGUGAAGGAUUAAGGCCCUCUGGGUUGUAAACUUCUUUUCUUUGGGAAUAAAAAGCGGUAUUCAUAUCGCCUUGAAGGUACCAGAGGAAUAAGCACCGGCUAACUCCGUGCCAGCAGCCGCGGUAAUACGGAGGGUGCAAGCGUUAUCCGGAUUCACUGGGUUUAAAGGGUGCGUAGGUGGUCUGUUAAGUCAGCGGUGAAAGCCUGGAGCUCAACUCCAGAAUUGCCAUUGAUACUGACGGACUUGAAUCAAGUUGAGGUGGAUGGAAUAUUACAUGUAGCGGUGAAAUGCUUAGAUAUGUAAUAGAACACCAAUUGCGAAGGCAGUUCACUAAGCUUGCAUUGACACUGA
rnacentral:rRNA from 1 species